rnacentral:lncRNA from 1 species
AUGGGCACUGCAGGGUACACUCGUACAUUCUUCCCAGGGUCAAGGAGAGUGGAAAUUUCUCACUUUCCACUUGUCACACACCAGGAGGCCGUUCAGGAAGGGCACGUGAGCCCGGGUGUGGGGUUGGCAAGGGGAGGGUGGGACAGGGCCGGGAUUCCAUGGUCCUUGCCCCAGCUGCACCCUGAAUGCCAUCAGCUCAAGUAUCUGAGCAGCACUCACAGGAGCCCAGCAGAUGACAGGCAGCUGCAAGGCAUUUGUUGUGGAAACAGAGCCGCAAAUGGCCCUGCGGCCCAUCCCGCGGAGCUAUUCUCUUCGCACAGUUUUCAUCGGGGUGAGCGUCAGAGUAGCUUGUGCUAUAAAUAAGCUCUAAGUCCCAGGCAGCCGCUGUCCAAUUUGCUGGCUUUGUCCGUGAGUGAGAACGUAGUGGCCGUGAGGAAGGGGGAAGGGCAGAGUCUCCGUGGGGGGAAGGCUGGGAUCUAAAGGCUCUUGCCCCUCCUCCUUGGCACAUGGAGGCACAUUUGGUACAGCUACUGGCCUACCCAUUCUCCUCAGUCACAUAGUAUCAUUCCAAGGAUUAAUAUUCAUAUUAUUAUUAAUCAUCUCCCAACUCAGAGGUAGAUCAUAAAAGUCUGCUGACUCCAGGCAGCCCUGGACAGGUCAAGGUUAGAAAUGCUCCCGCACGUGAGAUGCGUCCACUGCAGAGCCCCGCCCAAGUAGCUAGCAUGUGACUCUGAGAUGCUGCCUUUUCUUUGACUGGUCCCUAGGUACCAGCACCUCUGGGGUGUGGCGGAGGGUUGCAGUGGGCUGUGCUUCUGGGCAGCGUGUGAAGAAGCAGGACAUGGGGGGAGAGGCAGCUAUGACGAGAGACCUGAACUACACGCCUCGUGGAAGAGAACUUGGCAGUAUCCAACAAAACUCUGCGUGCACUGACCUUUGACCCAGCCAUCCUACUUCUAGGAGGCAAUCCCAAAGAUAGCAAAACAUUUAAAAAUGAUACCCAAGGCCAUUCAUUGAAUCACUAUUACGAAAGCAAAUGGGGGAGUUCCCGUUGUGGCUCAGUGGUUAACAAACCCAACUAGGAACCAUGAGGUUUCGGGUUCAAUCCCUCGCCUCGCUCAGUGGGUUAAGGAUCUGGCAUUGCUGUGAGCUGUGGUGUAGGUUGCAGAUGUGGGCUCAGAUCCCACAUUGCUGUGGCUGUGGCGUAGGCCGGCAGCUGCAGAUCUGAUUCAACCCCCAGCCCGGGAACUUCUAUAUGCUGUGGGUGUGGCCCUAAAAAGGACAAAAGAAAGAAAAAGAAGCAAAUAUGUAUACAUAUUCACAUCCCCCUUUCUUAGAUAAAAGAG